rnacentral:rRNA from 1 species
UACGUAGGGGCCUAGCGUUGUCCGGAUUUAUUGGGCGUAAAGAGCUCGUAGGCGGUUUGGUAAGUCGGGUGUGAAAUCUCCACGCUCAACGUGGAGGGGCCACCCGAUACUGCCAUGACUGGAGUCCGGUAGGGGAGUGUGGAAUUCCUGGUGUAGCGGUGAAAUGCGCAGAUAUCAGGAGGAACACCGGUGGCGAAGGCGGUUCUCUGGGCAUGAUCUGACGCUGAGGAGCGAAAGUGUGGGGAGCGAACAGG